rnacentral:rRNA from 1 species
AAGCAAAUAAGGGCGUAUGGGGAAUGCCUUGGCUCUCGGAGACGACGAAGGACGUGAUAAGCUGCGAAAAGCUGCGGGGAGGUGCAAAUAACCUUUGAUCCGCAGAUGUCCGAAUGGGGAAACCCUCAUGGUUGAAGACCAUGAACCCGCAAGGGAGGUAACCCGGGGAACUGAAACAUCUAAGUACCCGGAGGAAAAGAAAACAAUAGUGAUUCCGCAAGUAGUGGCGAGCGAACGCGGAGCAGCCCUAAACUUCUAUAUAGUCUAGCAGAAUCUACUGGAAAGUAGAACCAAAGACGGUGAAAGUCCAGUAUGCGAAAGUAAAUAUAGAAUUAUUCGAGUAUGGCGAGGCCGGUGAAACCUUGUCUGAAUAUAGCAGCACCAUCUGCUAAGGCUAAAUACUACCGAGAGACCGAUAGCGAACCAGUACUGUGAAGGAAAGGUGAAAAGAACCCUAAAAAAGGGAGUGAAAAGAACCUGAAACCAUACGCUUACAAGCGGUCGGAGCACGUUUACGUGUGACGGCGUGCCUUUUGCAUAAUGAGCCUACGAGUUACUCCUCACUAGCAAGUUUAAGUACUUAAGGUACGUAGGCGCAGCGAAAGCGAGUCUGAAUAGGGCGAAGAGCUAGUGGGGGUAGACGCGAAACCUGGUGAUCUAUCCAUGGGCAGGUUGAAGUUGGGAUAGUCUCCCAAUGGAGGACCGAACCGGUAUAUGUUGAAAAAUGUUCGGAUGACCUGUGGAUAGGGGUGAAAGGCCAAUCAAACCAGGAGAUAGCUCGUACUCCCCGAAAUGCAUUUAGGUGCAGCGUCGUUUAGAGUGUCAUGGAGGUAGAGCUACCAAUAGGGCUAGGGGGCUUCACCGCCUACCAACCCCUGAUGAACUCCGAAUGCCAUGACACUGCAGCGGCAGUGAGGCGAUGGGUGCUAAGGUCCUUCGCCAAGAGGGGAACAACCCAGACCAUCAGUUAAGGUCCCCAAGUGUGGAUUAAGUUGAUCUAACGAGGUGGGAAUGCUAUGACAGCUAGGAUGUUGGCUUGGAAGCAGCCAUUCAUUUAAAGAGUGCGUAACAGCUCACUAGUCGAGCGUUCCUGCGCGGAAAAUAAGCGGGCAUCAAAUCCACCACCGAAACUAUGGAUUGUAAUUUAUUACAGUGGUAGGGGAGCAUUCCAGCGGUAUUGAAGUCGUCUCGUAAGAGGCGGUGGAACUUCUGGAAAAGAAAAUGUAGGCAUGAGUAACGAUAAAUAAGAUGAGAAAUCUUAUCGCCGUAAGACUAAGGGUUCCUAGAUCUAUGCUAAUCAGAUCAGGGUUAGUCGGGUCCUAAGGUAUAGCCGAAAGGCGAAGCCGAUGGCAAACGGGUUAAUAUUCCCGUACUAGUAUAUAUUGCGAUGGGGUAACGGAGUAACGUAAGACCUGCCACGAGACGGAAUUCGUGGUUGAAGUACGUAGGUGUUGAUUCAGUAGGCAAAUCCGCUGAUGAACUGAAAUACGAUAGUACACUGAACCUUUUAGGUGAUGUGAUAAUGGUCCCAAGUACACUUCCAAGAAAAACCUCUAAGCUUCAGAUAUAUACUACCCGUACCGUAAACCGACACAGGUAGUCGAGGAGAGUAUCCUAAGGCGCUCGAGUGAUUCAUGGUUAAGGAACUAGGCAAAAUGGUCUCGUAACUUCGGGAGAAGAGACGCUCUAUUUUAACGAUAGAGCCGCAGUGAAGAGGCCCAAGCGACUGUUUAGCAAAAACACAGGACUCUGCAAAUUCGAAAGAUGAAGUAUAGGGUCUGACACCUGCCCGGUGCUGGAAGGUUAAGGAAGGUAGUUAGAACUUCGGUUCAAAGCUAUUAACUGAAGCCCCAGUAAACGGCGGCCGUAACUAUAACGGUCCUAAGGUAGCGAAAUUCCUUGUCGGGUAAGUUCCGACCUGCACGAAUGGUGUAACGAUUUGGGCACUGUCUCAACCAUGAGCUCGGUGAAAUUGAAGUAUCGGUGAAGAUGCCGAUUACCCGCAACGGGACGAAAAGACCCCGUGCACCUUUACUACAGCUUCACAUUGGGUUAGGAUAUAAUAUGUGUAGGAUAGGUGGGAGACUUUGAAGCGGGCACGCUAGUGUUCGUGGAGUCGUCCUUGAAAUACCACCCUUCUUAUAUUUUGAUUCUAACUCCGCUAAAGGCGGAGGACAUUGUGUGGUGGGUAGUUUGACUGGGGUGGUCGCCUCCUAAAAAGUAACGGAGGCUUGCAAAGGUACCCUCAGCAUGGUCGGUAAUCAUGCGAAGAGCAUAUUAGUAUAAGGGUGCUUGACUGAGAGAGGGACACCUCGAUCAGGAACGAAAGUUGGCUAAAGUGAUCCGGUGGUUCCGUAUGGAAGGGCCAUCGCUCAAAGGAUAAAAGGUACGCCGGGGAUAACAGGCUGAUCUCCCCCAAGAGCUCAUAUCGACGGGGAGGUUUGGCACCUCGAUGUCGGCUCGUCACAUCCUGGGGCUGGAGAAGGUCCCAAGGGUUGGGCUGUUCGCCCAUUAAAGUGGCACGCGAGCUGGGUUCAGAACGUCGCAAGACAGUUCGGUCUCUAUCUGUUGUGGGCGUAAGAAUAUUGAGGAGGGCUGACUCUAGUACGAGAGGACCGAGUUGGACACACCUCUAGUGUACCUGUUGUGGCGCCAGCUGCAUUGCAGGGUAGCUACGUGUGGAAUGGAUAAGCGCUGAAAGCAUCUAAGCGCGAAGCCAUCUCCAAGAUGAGUAUUCUAUUUGACUUCGGUCAUAAAAGGGUCGUGGAAGAUUACCACGUUGAUAGGCUAUAGGUAGAAGUGCAGUGAUGUAUGAAGCCGAGUAGUACUAAUUACCCGAAUGCUUC